rnacentral:rRNA from 1 species
UCCAGUUGAUCCUGCUGGAGGUCACUGCUAUUGGAGUUCGACUAAGUCAUGCAAGUCGAGGAAUCACCCUUGGUUCCUGGCGGACGGCUCAGUAACACGUAGGUAACCUACCCUUUGGACUGGGAUAAACUCGGGAAACUGAGUACAAUACCGGAUGAGCGAUAAGAACUGGAAUGUUCUAUCACUAAAAAAGGCACGAGAAUUGGAUCGUGCUCUGCCAAAGGAUGGGCCUGCGCCGGAUUAGGCAGAUGGCGGUGUAAUGGACCACCAUACCUAAGAUCCGUUGGGGCGUUGAAAGAUUAGCCCCGAGAAGGGCACUGAGACAAGGGCCCUAGCCCUAAGGGGUGCAGCAGAUGCGAAAACUUCACAAUGCGCGCAAGCGUGAUGAGGGAACUCCAAGUGCGCCCUCGUUGAGGGUGCUGUGGUAGAGUGUAAACAGCUCUGCAAGAAAGGAGUGGGCAAUACCGGUGCCAGCAGCCGCGGUAAUACCGGAGCUUCGAGUGGUGACCAUUAUUAUUGGGCCUAAAGCAUCCGUAGCCGGAAUCGUAAGUCCUCGGUGAAAUCGUUGCGCUCAACGUAACGGCGUGCCGAGGAUACUGCGUUUCUCGAGAUCGGGAGGGGUCAGAGGUAUUCCUGGGGUAACGGUAAAAUGUGAUAAUCCUAGGAGGACCACCAGUGGCGAAGGCGUCUGACUAGAACGAGUCUGACGGUGAAGGAUGAAAGCUAGGGGAUCAAAACGGAUUAGAUACCCGUGUAGUCCUAGCUGUAAACGCUGCCCGUUGGGUGUUGCACGUCCCUAGAGGGCGUGCAGUGCCGAAGCGAAGGCGUUAGACGGGCCGCCUGGGGAGUACGGUCGCAAGGCUGAAACUUAAAGGAAUUGGCGGGGGAACACACAAGGGGUGAAGCGUGCGGUUUAAUUGGAUUCAACACCAGGCACCUCACCGGAAGCUAUAGCAGUAUGAAGGUCAGUCUGAAGGGCUUACCUAACGUGCUAAGAGGUGGUGCAUGGCCGCCGUCAGCUCGUGCCGUAGGGUGUCCUGUUAAGUCAGGUAACGAGCAAGACCCUCACGCUUAGUUGCUAACCGAGCUCCACGGAGCGCGGCGCACACUAAGCGGACUGCCCCUGUAAAGUGGAGGAAGGUGUGGGCAACGGUAGGUCAGUAUGCCCCGAAUCUGCCGGGCAACACGCGCGCUGCAAUGGCUGGCACAAUGGGACGCAACCCCGAAAGGGGAAGCAAACCCCCCAAAUCCAGCCCCAGUUUGAAUUGAGGGUUGCAACUCACCCUCAUGAAAACGGAAUCCCUAGUAAUCGCGUUACACCCGAUCGCGAUGAAUACGUCCCUGUUCCUUGCACACACUGCCCAUCAAACCAAUCAAGUUGAGUAUGGGUGAGGCAUUACUUGCGGGUAGUGUCGAACCCGUGCUCGAUGAGAGGGGUUAAGUUGUCACAAGGUA